CAUUCCCCGCGCCAGCCACCCUGGGCUCCCUGCCGCUCCCGCACCUGCUGGCCUGCCGCCCCAUGCCACCUUCUCCCACGCGCCUGAACCUUCCUAUGACCAGGUGAUCUCUCUGCUCGAACCCUCAUCAUCACGGAGGGAGCCGGGCAGAUCUCGGGGAAGACAGGGCUCAACCUACUAUAGAGGAGCGAUGCCUUGUACUGGAAGACCAUGCUGGCUGUGGCGAAGCACUCCCUGAAGGUGCUGCUGCUCGUGAUGUCCAACCCCAUCUCCGUUUCCACCUACCUUGCCUAGAAGCUUUCAGUGUUGGGUUCCUGGUGAGCGGCGUCAUUAGUUCAAGCACCAACACUUUGUAAUCCACAUGCAGCUUCUAGGUUCAGGCUUUGGGAUGAAGGAACAUAGCACAUCGUUGCUGAAUUUGGAGUUAUACUCAUCAACAAGGGAAGGGGAAACAAGCAGUACCAACAGCUGGGACAACUUUGAGAUGCGGGUGCACAAGAGGGUGAUCGACCUUGUCAGCUCCUUGGACGUUCUCAAGCAGAUCACCAUUGAGAGGUUGAGAUGACCAUUAACAACAAGUAACUGUUGUGAACGUAGCCAAGGACAUGCAGCUGUUGGUGAUGGGCUCUGUUAGGAUGCCCACGUAGGUGCUCAACAUCACCACCGGGAAGUCCCCCUGUGGCGCAAGGUGAGCUGGAAGUGGUGGUGCACUGCCUUGCUUAUGGCGCCAAUGAGAUGGCGGGGUUGUUGCCCCGUGACGUCGGCGUCGGCUCCCACGACUCCAUCACUAGCUACGACUAUGUGGGUCGACGUGGUGAGCUUUAUUUGUGCAGAGAAAUCUGCAGCAUGCAGAUUCUCCUUAUCAACCCCAUCAGUAGUUUCACCAAACAACAAUGCAGACUUGAAUCCAACUGAGUCAAUUAAAUGUGUGGUUCGAACCAUGUAUGGCUACCAGGUCGUGGAAUCAGAUAAAACAGAGUACAUUUCCAUUGCUCUUUCUAUAAAGAGGGGGAGAAGGAAUGCUUGCCUAGCUCUAUACUCUAGAGAAGCUAACUGACCUGAAAGUCAAUUUCACCAAUAAGGUUAAUUUUGAGUGCCUUUAGUAGGACUAAGCCUGGGAGGCAUCCGAGAAUGCAGGCCUUCAUGAUCUUCAUGUGUCAGGUCAUCGGUGUUUGUUCAUCUAGAGACAACCGUAUUACAAGGCUCCCAAUAGCAUUCCAUUUCACUUCUCUGUGAAAUACGUGUAAUUUCAUUCCAGUCCUUCCUCUUAGAAAAAUAUGGUGAACAAAAAUGUUGCAUUUCUACUACACACCAACGAUGUCCUGGAGCUGGGUGGUGCAGCUCUAGAACUCUGGUCAAACUGGCUGAGAAAAUAGGACAAAUAGUAAGCUGCAGCCCAAAUGAAUUUUCGCAGUAAAAUUGUCAUCUUCUGUUCCCGUUGAAGCACUCACAACUCUCUGCAAAACUGAGCCACUCUUCUUGUUGAAGGGGGAGCCCCUCAUCUUUUGCAUCUUCUCUUUUUCUCUGGAGAAGCGCCAGAACUGUCAUCAUUAGGCUUUGAAUAUUUCUUCCGUCAGUUCAUGCCUCAUGCUUUCCCUCUCAGUUGGCACCUUACUAGAAUUGUAGAAUUCUCACAAAUACAAGAGUCUACAUUUAAUCUCUGUGCUCUGAGAACAAGAACUUCAGCUUAUUUAACCCUGCUAUGGAAUAAAUAGCUCCAGGAUCACAAUUAGACUUUUCUUUUUCUUUAUAUGUUCAGGGCAGUUGUGCACAAGGAUUCCUCAUUCCGGCUACUCGGGGCACUUGUGAACGUAUUGGAUUACUGGUGCGUUAUGCAAACAGCGAUGAUCUGCUACUCCUAUAGAUGAGUAAGGAAGCAAACAAAAGGACUGCACCCACAAGGAACCGUGAGGCCAGCGCUCCGCGUCAACUGCAUGUUUUAGCUUUCAUUGUGUACAAAUAACAUCUCAGACUUGUAUCUUUUAGCUAUCUUUUUCUGAACAUGAUGCAUGGUGUCUUGGUGGAUAUCUUUAGAACAGACUGAAGUAUAUGUAUGUGACGAUUAGUUAAUGAAACAAAAAUGUUUGGUGCA